CCGGAGAAAGGGGAACGCAGAGGGCCUCCCAGUGGCCGAAGAGGAAUUUUACUGUCCAUGAAACUGCUAGUUUCAAUGCAACCAUGACAAAACUGCAUUUUAUCAUUUGAUUUAAAAAUACGUUGCUACUUUGAGAGCUAUCAACUGGCAUUUUAAGAGAGAAAAAAAGUGAGGAAGAGUGUGUCCAUGAGUCGGGGAAGGGGCAGGAGGAGAGCAUCUUCAAGCCGACUCCUUGUUGAGCAUGGAGCCCAACACAGGGCUCCACACGGGGCUUGAUCCCACGACCCAUGAUAACAUGACCUGAGCCGAAAUCAAGAGUCAGCUGCCUAACUGACUGAGCCAGCCAGCCAGGCACCCCUGUAUUAAACCAUUUUAUAAUUCUUUUUUUUUUUUAAAGAUUUUAUUUAUUUAUUCGACAGAGAGAGUGAGAGAGUACAAGCAGGGAGGAGUAGUAGAGGGAGAGAAGCAGGCCUCCCGCUGAGCAGGGAGCCCAAUGCGGGGCUCGAUCCCAGGACCCUGAGAUCAUGACCUGAGGCGAAGGCAGACGCAUAACCAUUUUAUAAUUCUAAAAAGGAUGGCUAGAUAACUUUUUCUUCAUUCUUGUAAUUAGAAAAAUAUUUCCUUCAUAUGUCUAUUUGCAAAUCUAUUUUCAUCAACUUAUUAGGAUGUGAGCCUCCUUAAUUUGCAUAAAUGCAUGUGUUCAGCAACUCAACAGUAUUUUCUUCUAUCACACCUCUGAAUUCACAUCUCCAUGUUUUUCCAUCCAAAAACAUGCUGUCUCUUAGCACAUUCAAAUCUUCUUUUACAUUUCCCAC